rnacentral:tRNA from 1 species
GAGAGUAUAGCUCAGUGGUAGAGCGCAUGCUUAGCAUGCAUGAGGUCCUGGGUUCAGUCCCCAGUACCUCCA